rnacentral:misc_RNA from 1 species
GAAGAGGCCCGGCCUGGCCUGGCGACCGACGCGCCAGUCGCUCGCGAAGCUGCGGCGGCAGUGUGCCAUUGUCUCCCGGAGGGCUGCUGCUGCCAUGAGGGCCGCCAGCCUGCGCUGCACCAGCACCGCCAGAGCAAAAUGUUGAAGCAGGUGCUGCUGCCUUUGGCAGUGGCCGUGGCGUGUGCCUUGAGCCUGAGCCUGGCCUGCAAUGAAGCCAUAUGUGCAUCCAUAGUGAGCAAGUGCAUGUUGACACAAUCGUGCAAGUGUGACAAACUCAACGUCACCUGCAACAGAGACUGUUUCUACUGCCUUGACUAUCUUUACACUGAAUGCUGCUCUUGUGUAGAGAUGUGCCCGCGACAAAAUGAAACCAUCUCUCUAAGUCAUAAGUCCAACAUCGAGGAUCUGCCAGACCCGACGCAUGGGUUAUUUGCCCUCCUUACAGAGGAAGCUGACCGUUCCUUGAGAUGGCGGUCUUACACAUUUCCUGUACAUGCAGCAUUGUACAGCCCUGUGCAUGACAAAGAUAUCAAGCUGAAAGCUGUGGUGUCAAAUGGGAAUACAUCAGAAGUAGUUGAAGAGGAGGAUGUACAGGUGAACUGCACUGUGGCAUUCAUGUCACAGUGCAUGUCACUGAACAAGUGCAGAGAGUCGUGCCUCUCCAUGGGAGCUUCAAGCUACAGGUGGUUCCACGAUGGUUGCUGCCAGUGUGUUGGAAGCAUGUGCAUCAAUUAUGGAAUUAAUGAAAGCAGGUGCCUCCAGUGUCCCUAUUCAAAGGAGCUGAUGGACUUUGAUGAUGAGCAAGAUGAAGAGGUACCUAUCGAGGACCCAGACAGGCACACCUACCAACAUGUUGACUACAGUGACAAUUCUUACAGUGCCAAGGAGAAGGCAAACAGAAACAAUGUGGUAGACACUUCUGCUGCCGACAACGCAAACUCUACGUGAGGACAGUGCCACCAUGCCAUCUGCACAUUGCUGGUGCAAUAUAACCGUGCCGGGAGUGCGUGCCAGUGGUGCCCGGGAUCCUGUAGUCAGUGUACAUAGACUGCCAAGUGUCUCUUUCAGGUUGCCAGCCUCUGCAAGCAAGCCUGCAGCAAUUUUGGGCCGCUCAACACUCAGACUGCAUCUCUACAAGGACAGUGCACGCGUAGUAGCCUAAUAUAUUGAACCUAGGGACCAAUUGUGUGUUGUACAGCAAACGCGUUCACUGAACACAGUGGAAUGCAUUCUCCGACAAACAGCAGCCCAACUGAGACGAAUGGACUGGAAAAAAAAAGCCAUCUUUAGUACUUUGGCAAAGUUCGUAAAGACUCAAAACCGAUCGUCUGUGCAAAGCUUUGAGCAUUGCCAGCUGGUGCAGUUUUCACAAGUCAACCGAUGCUUAUGGCUGUUCCCAUUGGCAUCGUUAGGCUUCGUCUGCAUGUUCCAAGUACAAUACUUUAAUGUGUGUAUGUAAGUGUGCAUGUGUGUGUGUGUGUGCAAGUGUAUGUGGAAGUGUGUGCAUGAAAUGUGUGUAUAUGUAAGAGUGUUUAGCUGUAAUGGCUGUUGUUGUGCUACAUCUCUGCUACCUGCAGGCAGGGGGGAACAAGGCUUUUAUAUGCUGUGACAUUGUUAUAUUUAUUUAGGAGAAAGACAGUCUGGACAGGCAGUGGUAGCAUAUACCUGCGAAACUUGCCACCCUGCUGCCAAAAACAACAACAAAAAAACAACAACAAAAGGGGCCUCAUUUGCAGACAUUACUGCAGAGCAGUGUGCUUGAGGGUCCUCUGCGACAGUCUUUGGGCAGAAUAAAUGUUCCAGUGACUCAUGACCAUUAAUCAUCUUUCACCGCCAUGCAGCAGAUUAGGUAGUCACACUCAGGGGGCAUCAAUCAGUACCAUACUUCUCACCUUUCUAACUUCAGACUGUUGUCUUACAGUAGGUUAAGUGCAGCAUGAAUGCCUCAUCAUUUGAAACUAUGCAACGCUGCAUCACUUUGUUUCACAUGUACAAAACACAGAUUCAUAAUUUGUGCUGAGUGUGCUUUGUAAGCAGUAUUUCGAAGAUGUUUUUUUUUCCCAAGGUCAUUGCAAAGCGCAUGAAAGAAACUGAAGCUCUGGUUGGUCAUGUAAAAGUAUGCUUGUUUCAUACCUCACAGUUCUUGUGUCAGCUUGUGAUGUUCUCCCGCAUGAGUCUUCACUGUCACGUGCCAUGAGCCCCAAACAAACACGUCUGAAUUUGCGUUUACAUCAUGCAUGCAUUCUUAAAGGGGCAGCAGCCAGUAUUUCAGAAUGGCACUAAAAUUCAAUCUUUUCAGCAGCACUUGUGCUAGCCACUUUUUUUUUUUUGGGGGGGGGGGGGGGGCUUUACAUAUUUCAUGCUUUAAUUAGAUGCUGCGGUAUGUUAAAAAUUCAAACACAUCAAGUAAACAACUAUUGACAUCAUUAGUUUUAUUGGCUUCUGUUGUGGUACAAGCACACUAGUCUGAAAAGUUGCAGUACUGAUGGAGUUGCUUUCAUUCCAUCUUUGCAUUUUUUAUGUCAAAGCCCAGCAAAUCGUGCUUUUUGUGCAUUUUUUUCUGUUAUGCAAAACAGUUUUGUAAAUUUUGAUCUCCAUUAAAGAUAACCCUCAUGUUCCUUGAUAAUUUGUUUCACUAAUAUACUAGAAACAAAAAAGGAGACUGCACAUAUGUGCCAACGAAAUUGUUUUUACUCAGUGCAGCAACCAGUGUAGAUUUUGUUAUAUGAUGUGUAAUAAAAUUCUUGCAUAAUGAGCAAAA